UUUUCGGAGGCAGAACAAGGUGUGGAGCUUCUGCUUCUAAAGGCAAAGCACAGCCACGCGUUAGAAUGUUCAGUUUUCCCGCGAAUAAUACAAAUCAGUGCGCGUAAACAAGGAUGCAUACGAAAAGCGCCGUAUUGCUUGGCUGCCGAGAAAGCACGAAGCAAGAGAAGUAAAUCCUUGCCUGCUGUUAUCACUUCAUCACAGGGUCCAGUCGGAGGAGCGGAUUUCAAUGGGAAGCGGCCGUCGGUGCUAGUGCGGUGUUUCGCCCCCAGGCGCCGCAACUGGAGUAUAGAGAUGCCGCCGCGUCGUCUCUCGCGCAAACGAAUGCCGCGGCUAUAUUCUAAGCAGCUAUAUGUCUUGGUUUUCAGUUGUAUCAGCAUUGUUUGAGAUGUAAUGGAAACUCGGAGACGAGAAUCGCGAAGCACUUGUUGUUUUGGACACCCAGCUCAUUUCAAAGGCGUUCGCGACUAUUUGAUCGAGGCGCUCGCGUCGUAUGCUAGGCUGAUACCAGAUAGCUCAAGCUAGUAAUCCGUGGAAGAUCGUUUUGUCACCGUGGCGUUCGCUUGACUGAGAGUUGCUUUUUUGACUAACUGAAAAACGACUUUUGAGAGAAGCCUUUGCCAGAAGAUAAUAAUAAAAGCCUGUGUGCCUAAUGUUCCCCGAUGCUUGCUACUCUCUGGUGGUGUAGCACUUUAUGCGCAAGCCUGUAGUCCAUGCAAUAAAUAGCACUAAAUGCCACUAGACUGCU